rnacentral:rRNA from 1 species
GGUAUUUUGACCGUGCGAAGGUAGCGCAAUCACUUGUCUUUUAAAUGAAGACCUGUAUGAAUGGUGGAACGAGGGCUUAACUGUCUCCCCUUUCUAGUCAAUGAAAUUGAUCUGCCCGUGCAGAAGCGGACAUAAAAAUAUAAGACGAGAAGACCCUUUGGAGCUUAAGACAAAAAUCACCUAUGUCAAGAACCAAAAGUUAAACUAAAUAGUAAUUGAUUAUAGUCUUCGGUUGGGGCGACCACGGGAGAAAAUAAAGCUCCCACGAAGAAUGGGUUAAUCCUAAAAUCAAGAGAGACACCUCUAAAUAUCAGAACCUCUGACUAUAAAGAUCCGGCUCAUCGCCGAUCAACGGACCAAGUUACCCUAGGGAUAACAGCGCAAUCCCCUUUCAGAGUCCCUAUCGACAAGGGGGUUUACGACCUCGAUGUUGGAUCAGGACAUCCUAAUGGUGCAGCCGCUAUUAAGGGUUCGUUUGUU